rnacentral:rRNA from 1 species
AGCAGCCGCGGUAAUUCCAGCUCCAAUAGCGUAUAUUAAAGUUGUUGCAGUUAAAAAGCUCGUAGUUGAAUUUCGGGACCAAUCUGCCGGUCGUGCCUCCGGUACGCACUGGUUUUAUUGGUUUCUCCCUUCUGACGAACCAUGAUGUCAUUAAUUUGGUGUCAUGGGGAAUCAGGACUGUUACUUUGAAAAAAUUAGAGUGUUUAUAGCAGGCUCACGCUUGAAUACAUUAGCAUGGAAUAAUGAAAUAGGACGUUUGACCCUAUUUUGUUGGUUUCUAGGAUCGACGUAAUGAUUAAUAGGGAUAGUUGGGGGCAUUAGUAUUCAAUUGUCAGAGGUGAAAUUCUUGGAUUUAUUGAAGACUAACUACUGCGAAAGCAUUUGCCAAGGAUGUUUUCAUUAAUCAAGAACGAAAGUUAGGGGAUCGAAGACGAUCAGAUACCGUCGUAGUCUUAACCAUAAACUAUGCCGACUAGGGAUCGGAUGAUAUUAAUUUUUAAUGACUCAUUCGGCGCCUUAA